rnacentral:rRNA from 1 species
AGAGUUUGAUCCUGGCUCGAGGAGAACGCUGGCGGCGUGCUUAACACAUGCAAGUCGAACGGAAAGGCCCUGCUUUUGUGGGGUGCUCGAGUGGCGAACGGGUGAGUAACACGUGAGUAACCUGCCCUUGACUUUGGGAUAACUUCAGGAAACUGGGGCUAAUACCGGAUAGGAGCUCCUGCUGCAUGGUGGGGGUUGGAAAGUUUCGGCGGUUGGGGAUGGACUCGCGGCUUAUCAGCUUGUUGGUGGGGUAGUGGCUUACCAAGGCUUCGACGGGUAGCCGGCCUGAGAGGGUGACCGGCCACAUUGGGACUGAGAUACGGCCCAGACUCCUACGGGAGGCAGCAGUGGGGAAUAUUGCACAAUGGGCGGAAGCCUGAUGCAGCAACGCCGCGUGCGGGAUGACGGCCUUCGGGUUGUAAACCGCUUUCGCCUGUGACGAAGCGUGAGUGACGGUAAUGGGUAAAGAAGCACCGGCUAACUACGUG